rnacentral:snoRNA from 1 species
GUCGAUGAUGCGCAUGUUCGCCUGAUGCGGGAUGAAGGCCGCCAGAUCGGAGG